CCCCGGCCUUGGCCCCCUUCCAGGCAGCAGGAAACCGGCCGCCAGCAGUGCUGGUGUAUUCCUGCCUGCAUUCCUGCCUGUUCCCGUACUCCCGCGUGUGUGACCUGCGUUCGGGUCCCGGCACGGUCGCUCCUCUCCGUGGCCGUUCCCGUGGCCGCGGUGCCCCGGACCAAGGCGCGAGGAGCCGUUCACGGCGGCCGGCGUCGCCUGCAGCCGCGCAGCGCGGCACAGCGGGGACAAGGGGGUCUGUCCCUCUCUCCCCCAGCUCUCAAGGGUGGGAUGCUCCAUCCUUAACGUGACCACGUCCCUGCUGCCGCCGGCACCCUCGGGGACGGCCCUGGGCGCUGCCCGUCCGCGCGCCCGGAGACCCCGAAGCUGCUGCCRGAGCCUGGCCCGGGACUGCCUCGUGCGGCCCUUCCGCGUUCGGCUGCGCAAGCAGCGUGUUUGGAGAGACGGGUCGAGCUCACCGCGGACGCCAGCAGCCCCCGCGGAGGAAGCGGGGUCCCUGCGCGGGUGAAAAACUGCUUGAAAGGGGCUGGGAGCAGCGGCUGCCUCUGGCUGACGAGGAAGGUCGGUGGCUGCGGGGUUUGCGGGGGUCUGUGCUGGGCUCUGAGCUAUGCGGCACCUCCACAAAGGACCUGGAAAAGGGAAGCAAUACAGAGUUUUGCUCACGGCAUGGAGCAGCAACGCAGGGCAGGACAGAAGAGGGGCAAGUCCGAGGAACYGCAGAGGAACCCUCUGCGAUGAGCACCUGGGCGGUAACACAGCGAAGGCAGUUGGGCAGYGCUGAGCGGAGGACGCUGCCCGCGGGGAAUGUCCCUGCCGUCUCAGCAGUCCGUCAGCGCUCCGCAGCGAGACCACGGGACGGUGAAAAACCUCCCUGGGAGCCAUCAGCCGAGAUUACAAUGAAAACGUGGAGAAAGCUGUGGCUCUGGAAUGAGAAAUUCUGUAUUUGAUGAGGAGUCGUCGUCACCAGAAGCUACUUCUAUGAGAUCUAUCGCUUCUCGAGUUCCCUGCAUUGAAGCAUGUUUUAUUGAUGCUGCUKAAUGCUAAUUUCCUGGUGGAAUACCGUGUGGUGUGUUCCCGGUGUCAAUCAGUACACGUUACACCGAGGCAGCUACAUUCAUCAGCCCAAACUUCCAUCRGAGCUGUUUUCCACAGAGCAGUGUUGAUAGGUGUUAAUUAUCUCCGUAGUCUUUUAAGUCUUYGGUUAUAAAUUCUAGCUUGCACGAGCUGCAUUUUGGCGUGAUUUUAGCACUGUUSCUGCCUGCCAGGUUUCCUCAGGCAUUGAAAAGUGUCUCCAGUGCGGGCCCAGCAGAUCGAACGGGAAAAUUGCCCGUUCUGCUGCGCUCCUGGAUGUCGCUGCAGCAGGGAAGGUUAAUGCGGAGCAGACAUCCAGCUUGGUGGUACCCGAAGUUGUUUCCCGUGUUGCGACCAGGCAGGUGCGUUGGUCUCUGCAGCGCGAGGACGUACGGUGAUGGUGUCCGGGGUCAGACGGGCACGGAGGUGUUGCCCCG
rnacentral:lncRNA from 1 species